ACAGCCACAUCACAUUGAAACACCAGUUCCUGUCUGACUACCGAAGUUAAACAACAUCGGGCAUGGUCAGUAUCUAGAUGGGUGACUGGUUGGGAAUACCAGGUGCAGUAA